GGCCUGAUAGUUCAGUGGUAGAAUUCUUGCUUUGGGACACCCAAAUUGUAAGAGGUCUCCGGUUCGAUCCCGGAUCAGGCCC
rnacentral:tRNA from 2 species